ACAGAGAUGGCGACCGUUGUUCGGAAUCACUGGGCUUAAAGGGCAUGUAGGCGGAGAGAAAAGUUGAAAGUGAAAGCCCAUGGCUUACCCAUGGAAUAGCUAUCAAAACUAUCUCUCUUGAGUGAGGUAGGGGGGAGUGGAACUCCUGGUGGAGCGGUGAAAUGCGUUGAUAUCAGGAGGAACGCCGGAGGCGAAAGCGACUCUCUGGACCUCAACUGACGCUGAGGUGCGAAAGCUGGGGGAGCAAACGG
rnacentral:rRNA from 1 species